AAUGAACGUUGGCGGCGUGGAUUAGGCAUGCAAGUCGUACGAGAAUCGUAGCAAUACGAGGAAAGUGGCGGAAGGGAGAGGAUUACGUGGGAAUCUACCCUCAGAACUGGGAUAGCGGCGGGAAACUGCCGGUAAUACCAGAUAAUGUCUGUGGACCAAAGGUGUGAUUCCGUCUGGGGAUGAGCCCACGUCCUAUUAGCUAGUUGGCAGGGUAAUGGCCUACCAAGGCAAUGAUGGGUAGCGGGUGUGAGAGCAUGACCCGCCUCACUGGGACUGUGAACUGCCCAGACACCUACGGGUGGCUGCAGUCGGGAAUCGUCGGCAAUGAGCGCAAGCUUGACCGAGCGACGCCGCGUGCGGGAUGAAGGCCUUCGGGUUGUAAACCGCUGUCGUAGGGGAGCAAGAGAUGAGGGUACUCCCUCUGAUUUGAGCGAUCCUAGGAGGAAGGACGGGCUAAGUUCGUGCCAGCCGCCGCCGUAAAAC
rnacentral:rRNA from 1 species